rnacentral:rRNA from 1 species
UACGUAGGUGGCAAGCGUUGUCCGGAAUUAUUGGGCGUAAAGCGCGUGCAGGCGGUCCUUUAAGUCUGAUGUGAAAGCCCACGGCUCAACCGUGGAGGGUCAUUGGAAACUGGGGGACUUGAGUACAGAAGAGAAGAGUGGAAUUCCACGUGUAGCGGUGAAAUGCGUAGAGAUGUGGAGGAACACCAGUGGCGAAGGCGACUCUUUGGUCUGUAACUGACGCUGAGGCGCGAAAGCGUGGGGAGCAAACAGG